rnacentral:rRNA from 1 species
AUGAACGCUAGCUACAGGCUUAACACAUGCAAGUCGAGGGGCAGCAUUUCAGUUUGCUUGCAAACUGGAGAUGGCGACCGGCGCACGGGUGAGUAACACGUAUCCAACCUGCCGAUAACUCGGGGAUAGCCUUUCGAAAGAAAGAUUAAUACCCGAUGGUAUAAUUAGACCGCAUGGUCUUGUUAUUAAAGAAUUUCGGUUAUCGAUGGGGAUGCGUUCCAUUAGGCAGUUGGUGAGGUAACGGCUCACCAAACCUUCGAUGGAUAGGGGUUCUGAGAGGAAGGUCCCCCACAUUGGAACUGAGACACGGUCCAAACUCCUACGGGAGGCAGCAGUGAGGAAUAUUGGUCAAUGGGCGCAGGCCUGAACCAGCCAAGUAGCGUGAAGGAUGACUGCCCUAUGGGUUGUAAACUUCUUUUAUAUGGGAAUAAAGUUUUCCACGUGUGGAAUUUUGUAUGUACCAUAUGAAUAAGGAUCGGCUAACUCCGUGCCAGCAGCCGCGGUAAUACGGAGGAUCCGAGCGUUAUCCGGAUUUAUUGGGUUUAAAGGGAGCGUAGGUGGACAGUUAAGUCAGUUGUGAAAGUUUGCGGCUCAACCGUAAAAUUGCAGUUGAUACUGGCUGUCUUGAGUACAGUAGAGGUGGGCGGAAUUCGUGGUGUAGCGGUGAAAUGCUUAGAUAUCACGAAGAACUCCGAUUGCGAAGGCAGCUCACUGGACUGCAACUGACACUGAUGCUCGAAAGUGUGGGUAUCAAACAGGAUUAGAUACCCUGGUAGUCCACACAGUAAACGAUGAAUACUCGCUGUUUGCGAUAUACAGUAAGCGGCCAAGCGAAAGCAUUAAGUAUUCCACCUGGGGAGUACGCCGGCAACGGUGAAACUCAAAGGAAUUGACGGGGGCCCGCACAAGCAGCGGAGCAUGUGGUUUAAUUCGAAGCAACGCGAAGAACCUUACCAAGUCUUGACAUCCUUCUGACCGGUACUUAACCGUACCUUCUCUUCGGAGCAGGAGUGACAGGUGGUGCAUGGUUGUCGUCAGCUCGUGUCGUGAGAUGUUGGGUUAAGUCCCGCAACGAGCGCAACCCUUAUCUUUAGUUACUAACAGGUCAUGCUGAGGACUCUAGAGAGACUGCCGUCGUAAGAUGUGAGGAAGGUGGGGAUGACGUCAAAUCAGCACGGCCCUUACGUCCGGGGCUACACACGUGUUACAAUGGGGGGUACAGAAGGCAGCUACCUGGUGACAGGAUGCUAAUCCCAAAAGCCUCUCUCAGUUCGGAUCGAAGUCUGCAACCCGACUUCGUGAAGCUGGAUUCGCUAGUAAUCGCGCAUCAGCCAUGGCGCGGUGAAUACGUUCCCGGGCCUUGUACACACCGCCCGUCAAGCCAUGAAAGCCGGGGGUACCUGAAGUACGUAACCGCAAGGAGCGUCCUAGGGUAAAACUGGUAAUUGGGGCU